rnacentral:ncRNA from 1 species
AUUAUUAAUAUAAUAAAUAUAUAACCUUAUAACAGUCGACUCAGAGCUAGUUCAGACAAAGUGAAUUUGACUAUUUGAUUAAAACAAAGAAUUGUGAUGGUCCUUGCGUAUGCUAACGCAAUGUGAUUUAUUCCCAGUACUAUGAAUGUUAAAGUGAAUAAAUUCAACCAAGAACAGGUAAACGAUGGGAGUAACUAUGACUCUCUUAAGGUAGCCAAAUGCCUUGUCAUGUAAUUAGUGAUGCACAUGACUGGAUUAACUAGAUUCCCACUAUCCCUAUCUACUAUCUAGAGAAACUACAACCAAGGGAAUGGGCUUAGCAUAAUGAACAGGGAAAGAAGACCUUGUUGAGGUUGAAUCUAGUUUGACUUUGUGAAAUUACUUGAGAGGUGUAGAAUAAGUGGGAGUCUUUUUCGGCACAAAUGAAAUACCACUACUUUUAACGUUAUUUUACUUAUUAUGUGGGGCGGAGAUGGGGAAUUUACCCUAUUUUUUUCCCUUAAGACACAUUUCGAUGGGUCGAUGUGGGUGGAAGAAAUUGUCAGAUAGGGAUUUUGGAUGGGGCGACACAUCUAUUAAAAUAUAACAUAAAAUAUAAUUGGUGUAUAUAGAACAUUUUUAUUUGGGAUAUCCUAGAGCAAAACCACCAUUAUUACCUUUCCCUCCUAAUUUGUAGU